rnacentral:rRNA from 1 species
GACGAACGCUGGCGGCGUGCUUAACACAUGCAAGUCGAACGGUAAGGCCCUUCGGGGUACACGAGUGGCGAACGGGUGAGUAACACGUGGGUGAUCUGCCCUGCACUUCGGGAUAAGCCUGGGAAACUGGAUCUAAUACCGGAUAGGACCCUGGGAUACAUGGCCUGGGGUGGAAAGCUUUUGCGGUGUGGGAUGGGCCCGCGGCCUAUCAGCUUGUUGGUGGGGUGAUGGGCUACCAAGGCGACGACGGGUAGCCGGCCUGAGAGGGUGACCGGCCACACAGGGACUGAGAUACGGCCCAGACUCCUACGGGAGGCAGCAGUGGGGAAUAUUGCACAAUGGGCGCAAGCCUGAUGCAGCGACGCCGCGUGAGGGAUGACGGCCUUCGGGUUGUAAACCUCUUUCAGCACCGACGAAGCGCAAGUGACGGUAGGUGCAGAAGAAGGACCGGCCAACUACGUGCCAGCCGCCGCCGUAA